AGGUAACAGGCCAAAGACAAUUGAAAGGUAAAGCAGAUGAAGGCAUAUUUAUCGGUACAGUUUUACUGAGGAAGAAGUAGCUUUUGCUGUAGAUCUCAUAUUAAUUCAUGGAAUUCUUUCUGGACAAGAGGAAACAAGAAAUGUAAUUCUUUCUUCAGUAGAGCAAAGAGACAGAUUCACUAUGAUCUAUUUGAAUACUGGAAGUGAUAAGGAGUGUCUUGUGGAGUUGUGGAAUCUGUGAGAGCAGUUGUCUGAUCUGAGAAUACACCAAAUAAAGCAUCAUCUUUACUGGAGACUUCCUUGCAUUGCACUGACUAGAAUCACAGAAUAACAUCAUGGUUGAGGUUGGAAGGGACCUCUGGAGACCUCAAACUCCACCAGCCUUUUAUUUGAGGAAAAAAAAAAGAUGGGAGUAAGCCUUUCCUGAAAGACUUACACAGAGUGGUAUAUGUGAUAAAGUGGAUUUCCAUUUGGAAGGUAAGCAGAGAAUCUCUUCUUCAAGGCUUUGUAAUGUUUAAGUGAUAUUAGGUAAGAUAUUUGUGUUCCCACGCUGACUGAGCUGUCAGCGUUCCUGUUAGCUAUAUUCAUGUUACCCAUUACAUCUCCCAUGUUCCCUGGAAAAUAUCCCUUAUACACUGCUAGGCUUCUCUGUUCUGUUUAAUUUUCCUGCCUAACAUAUUGCAAUCAGUAGAGUUUUCUUAUGAUUGCAAAGGUAGUAACAACUGUUUAGUUUUCUGUCCUUGUUUAGGACAUGCAAGGAUAUGAAUAUUACCCUAGCAAUACCCUAGGAUGUUUUUCCUGUGCUUGUGAGACUUGGUUAGGACAUGGGAGAGAGAAAAAGACACAAUAUGUUGUAGUUUGACCCAGCAGGUAGCUAACAAGCACUGCACAGUUGUUUGCUCACUCCCCCACCUCCCAGUGGGAUGGGGGAGAGGACUGCAAAAAAAAAGUAGAAAAAAAAUAAAGUAGUGGGCAGAGAUAAAAAGUAUUUACUAAGACAGAAAAGAAAGAGGAAAAAAGGAUAAUAGAUAUGAUAAAUACGUAUAUAUCUACACACACACAAAACAAAUGAUGCACAAGCAAUUGCUCACCACCCGUCGACUGAUGCCCAGCCAGUCCCCAAGCAGCAGCUACUCCCCUGGCCAACUGUUUUCAAGUUUUUUUCACAUGAUGUCAUAUGAUAUGGAAUAUCCCUUUCACCAGUUUAGGUCAGCUGUCCUGGUUUUAUCCUCUCCCAGCUCCUUGUGCCACCCUCAGCGUGCCUCACUGGGAAGACAGUAUGAGAAGCUGAGAAACUGAAAUAUCCUAGACUUCCUACAGCACUGCUCAGCAGCAACUAAAACACUGGUGUGUUAUCAACAUUGUUUUUCUCCUAAAGCUAAAACAUAGCAUCAUACCAGACACUAGGAAGGAAAAAUCAACUCCAUCCCAGCUGAAACCAGGACAAAUAAAAAUGAAAGAUAAUUUCAUCAGGAUGUGUGCACUGGAUGAUUUUUAAGGUCCCUUCCAACCCAAGCUGUUCUAUGUAAGAAAUUGGAGUGUGAGUGAUUCCACCAGAGCAAACACCGUAAGUUCACACAAAAGCCCUUUCUUUUCAUCAUGCAACUUUAACUGCAGCACCUUCUUCAUGCAUGGUUAAAAAAGAGGGUACAGCUGAAGCUAUGUAAAGCUGCAUCUUUAUGGUUUUGGCCAUUAACAUCUACAUGGAGGCAGGAUCUCUAGUCAUCACCUAGGCACUGGAGGAGCAGAGCAUUCACAUUACCCAGCUCAUGAUGUUAGCAGGCUGCUGAUCAGAUUGCCAAUAUAGUCAGAGGAGAGUGACAAACUCUUUCAGAUGAUGUUUCAGGAUAUAGAAGUUAGACUGCUUCUCUGAAUCACCUUAAAGAAUUCACUGCCAUUCCCUCCCACUCUCCAUUUCUACCCAAGGAUUUUAGGAAAAGAUAAAAAGGCUAAAUAUUUUUCCCCAAAUACUAGCAUAAUGUAUAGUGUAAACAUUCUGAAAGGAGUUAACCUAUCCUCUCCAGGGACCAAGAGUUAAUUAUUAUUACUAUUUUUUCCUUAUUAAUUCCUAUUCCUUAUAUCUAAAGAAAUUAAAAAUCCUUACUUGACUGGUUUCCAUGCUCAUCCAAAGUAAAUACUGUGCUAUUCCUAAAUAAAAUCCACAGUCUGGUCAGACCUGCAAUCAACACAGAGAUGCAAUUCCAACAUAAUUUCAUGGUGAGAGACUGGGGCAUCAAACUUUCUGGUGCAUAAUCAAAAGCUUCUUAGAAGACAAAUAAAAGUGAAGUAGCUUCUGGAAACAAUUGGCUUCCCAGUCUUUCUCCAAAUGCAGAAAUUAAAAUUAGGAAAAGGGAGACAAUUUAUUCUUCUCAUCAUCCACCUGCUCAUGUAUUUCUUCUGUUUACUGAUAAAAGGCUAGGUAUCUCUGAAGGCAGGUCUCCAUCCCUUCAUUACCCCUGUUCUGAUCAAUAUAUCUGUAACAUUUUUUACUAAGAUUGCA